rnacentral:tRNA from 1 species
GGGCUAGUAGCUCAGCUUGGAUAGAGCGCCUGCCUUCUAAGCAGGAGGUCGGGGGUUCGAAUCCUCCCUGGCCCG